AACGAACGCUGGCGGCAUGCCUAACACAUGCAAGUCGAACGAGAUCUUCGGGUCUAGUGGCGCACGGGUGCGUAACGCGUGGGAAUCUGCCCUUUGGUUCGGAAUAACAGUUGGAAACGACUGCUAAUACCGGAUGAUGACGAAAGUCCAAAGAUUUAUCGCCAGAGGAUGAGCCUGCGUAGGAUUAGCUAGUUGGUGUGGUAAAGGCGCACCAAGGCGACGAUCCUUAGCUGGUCUGAGAGGAUGAUCAGCCACACUGGGACUGAGACACGGCCCAGACUCCUACGGGAGGCAGCAGUGGGGAAUUUUGGACAAUGGGCGAAAGCCUGAUCCAGCAAUGCCGCGUGAGUGAUGAAGGCCUUAGGGUUGUAAAGCUCUUUUACCCGGGAUGAUAAUGACAGUACCGGGAGAAUAAGCUCCGGCUAACUCCGUGCCAGCCGCCGCUGUAA
rnacentral:rRNA from 1 species